ACUGUAAUUUUAAAGCCCCAUUGUGAAUAGUGAUUCCUUCCUAUUUGAGCAACAUCAAUUUUUUUUUUCCUUUUUCAAUCGAUGGGUUUUCUUCCCAAUACUCAUCUCUUCCUUCUAUAACCCUUUUCCAGAAUGUUGUAUUUUUUCUUCUCGAUGCUUCCCACCGCUUAUCUUGCCUUUCUCCACACGACGCUUCAAUCGAUCAUUCCUACAAUUGCUUUCUUAGAACUUUUCCAAUUUCAUUGACCCAUGUGUCACCAUCAAUCGGUACGAAAUCGCCUUUGCUGCCGGAAUUCGAUCACCAGGUUCACUGUUUAUGUACUUAUAGAUUUUAUGAUUGUCGUUUGUAACAUAUGUUUGUAUUUGUUCAUUUGUUUAUGUAAUGGCUUUUUUCAAUUGUUCUUGUGUUUGUGAGCAUAAUACAAAUAUUGGAGGAGAUCGAUCGGGCUGCGGGUGGUAGUGGCCGAAAGCAAAACUGUCUGGCAGCACUGAACCACAAACACUCUAUUAGACCACCAACUUUCUACAAUCAGAGACGAAUACCAGGUCAUCUACUUCAUUCGAGAAGCAAUUUUCUGUCUCCACUCUCCAUCUAUUACAAUUGCUUUAGCUUGAGUGGAUUUUACGUUAGAAAUAGGAACCUUAAAUUUAUCUGUGUGCAAGAAGUGGAAGAACGGUGUUUGGAUACAGGGAUAACUUCUUGAUUUUGCACAGCCUUUCCAGGAGACCUACACACAAAUUUCAUUUUUAUGUUCUUUACUAUACUAAUUUGUGUUUGUGUGCAGGAAGUAGAAUGUAAAGACAACAUAAGGAAAGUGGAACACUUUUGUUCUUGGACCAGCUGCUUGAGAAGAUCUGUAAUUCUACUUACACAUAUGAUACAUAUAGUUGAGGACUACAACUCUACAAGGAGUUCAGAACAUAGUCUUAUGACUUGCUUGAUCGAGCUAUUAAGGAUGAAGAGCGCUUUGUUGCAAUAAGGAUUUUUAGCCGAAAAUAGGUAAUGGGGAGGUUGCUCGAGUUUGUUCCCACUCGAAAAAGAAAGGUUUUGCUUCGUCGGAAUUUCUGAAAACCCUACAACACCGACACAACUAGAUCUGCUCACUGUUGCCAUCACCAUGAUCUAUAGACCUUUGGGAGCAGUUAAGCAUGGUUACACUCAUUCAAUCAACACUUUUCUUCGAUACCUAGAUUGAUCUAUUUUAACUACUCGAUUGCAAUUUGUAGCUCCAGGAAGAUGGAAGUAGGGUUUCGUUUCGAGUUUGAGGUAAUCUACACUUUGUUGAAUCCUCCACCUACAACCAUAAACUCGAUAGAUGACUUUGAAGCACCAAAGGAGCCAAAGAAAUAUGGUGACAAGUGACAACUGUAUAACUGCCUGCAACAAAACAAUAUUUGGAUUUCUUCAAUCAACAUUGCUAAGGGAAAUUGAAGUUGAAGUUUGAAAUGGUUUCUUACCAAGAGAGAGUUGUGAAUCAGUUGAUGCAAAUUAAUGAGGACAACCAAAUGUUGAAUUAUUAUAAGAACAAAAUUGCUAAAGAACAUAUGCAUUAGAAUGCAGUUGAAGAGUCGUGUACUUUGGUGUCUUAGAGACUGAGGAAAACUGAAGAAGAAAACCAUAUUGUGAGGGAGAGAACACAAUGUUACCAUGAACAAAACAAGGAAGAGGUACACACACACAAGUUGUGUUUAUUAAAUAUUGUUAUCUGGAUAAAAUGAUGUUUUUUUUUCAUGAUUUGUGUUCAGCUGGAUUAUCAAGAAUAGUUCUUUAAGGACCAAUUGAAGGUAAAGAAGGAUCCUCAAAACAUAACUCUUUCUUUGGUGAGUACGAUCGAGUCGGUGCCUUCCCGCACUCCUGAGAAAACCACAUAACACAUAGCACGGUACUUCGGGAGAUCGUGGCAAGACGAAGGCGUGAUCAUACCACUCCUCAUGAUUUAUGAUUUAAGUGAUAUGGUUCCGGGCGAAAUACUCUGAUGUUUAAACUAUUUUGAAAACAAUUGUAUGAACUUAAUGGUUUUUGAAUGAUCUAAAAUGUUUUAAUUUGGCUCGAAUUUUAUGGUCAUUACAAGUUGGUAUCAAAGCCUUGGUUUGAGUGAAUUGGAGGAACAUUCGUGUGAAUGCAGUCUCAAAUCAAGGAGAGAUUUUCGAAAAUAGUUUUCAAAAGGUUUUCAAAAUAAGUAAAGGAGGACGCAGAGGGUAUGAUCAGCCAAAGCCAGUACUCAGUUUUCAA